rnacentral:rRNA from 1 species
AUGCUCUUUCUAUGGUGGGCGAGAGACUGCACAACAUUUGUUUUUACUUGCCAUGUUGCUAGGGUGACCUGGAGGACAGUGGCAUGCAUGUUUGGCACUGCUCUGUGCCCUGAUAACAUUUGGCAAGCUUAUGUAUGGUGCUUUACAUUCUUCCCUGGUGGGGAAAAGUUUUAUACAGUGGGGAUUGCUGUUGUGUGUUGGGCGAUCUUGUCUUGUCGCAAUAGAGCUACCUUCGAGUUCAAUCCGCUUAAAAAUCCUUUUGAAUGUAUUUUUUCUGCAUGUGCUCUAAUGUGCUACUGGGCAGGAUUGCUGAAGCAAGAUGAUGCGGCUACCAUGAGGGAUGGGGCAAAGAUGCUGAAGGAGAAUGCGUCAAUGAUGAUGAGAAUCUGUGCGGCGAACCAUGAAGAAUCGGCUCGUUGA